CUGUCGGCAACCCAAAUUGUUGAAGUUCUUAGCACUCCGAGCUGUAAGCACACCAAACAAAGCCGCACAUGUCCGUUAUGAAGUGUGGUAUGUAUGAACAGGGUAACCCAGUUCUUCAUGGAGAUGCUCUGCCAGAAGUACUGGAGGAAUAUCAUAAAUGACCUCCUUGAACAAAUAGCUCUGAAGUCUUGCUCUCUUACAACUUCUCUGAAAAGGACACCUGAAAGACAAAUUUAUUGAACGGCAUCAGACAACAUGUUUGCAAAAGAGGUUCAGACAUUUCACACCAGCAAAAGUCACAUUUUUAAAGGAUGCAAUUGAUGACUUCUUAAAGAAUGUAUUGAAAUCAGCCUUGGAUGUUCUCAUAGCUGCUGUAAAUUUUGUGCAUUCUUUUUCCAUCCAGGUAAUGACUUCCAGUACCAAAUUUAACCAAAAUAAAUUCUAAUGAGAAAAUCAGGUUAAUAAUCUAAGAAGAAAGUACUUACUUUUUAAAAUUGAUAUUAUCCAAAAAUGUAUUUGUAACCUUAUGACCAAUGG